rnacentral:rRNA from 1 species
AUUGAACGCUGGCGGCAUGCCUUACACAUGCAAGUCGAACGGUAACAGGUCUUCGGAUGCUGACGAGUGGCGAACGGGUGAGUAAUACAUCGGAACGUGCCCGAUCGUGGGGGAUAACGGAGCGAAAGCUUUGCUAAUACCGCAUACGAUCUACGGAUGAAAGCAGGGGACCGCAAGGCCUUGCGCGGACGGAGCGGCCGAUGGCAGAUUAGGUAGUUGGUGGGAUAAAAGCUUACCAAGCCGACGAUCUGUAGCUGGUCUGAGAGGACGACCAGCCACACUGGGACUGAGACACGGCCCAGACUCCUACGGGAGGCAGCAGUGGGGAAUUUUGGACAAUGGGCGAAAGCCUGACCCAGCCAUGCCGCGUGCAGGAUGAAGGCCUUCGGGUUGUAAACUGCUUUUGUACGGAACGAAAAGACUCUUUCUAAUAAAGAGGGUCCAUGACGGUACCGUAAGAAUAAGCACCGGCUAACUACGUG